rnacentral:tRNA from 1 species
AGCAAAGUCAGCUAAAUAAGCUUUUAGGCCCAUACCCUAACCAUGACGGUUAAACUCCCUCCUUUGCUA